rnacentral:tRNA from 1 species
UUGGGGUUGGCUCAGGGGUAGAGCACUUGUCUAUCAUAUGUGAGGCACUGGGUUCUAACCUCAGCACCACAUA